rnacentral:rRNA from 1 species
UACGUAGGUGGCAAGCGUUGUCCGGAUUUAUUGGGUUUAAAGGGUGCGUAGGCGGCUUUGUAAGUCAGUGGUGAAAUAUGGCAGCUCAACUGUCAGGGUGCCAUUGAUACUGCAGAGCUUGAGUACAGAUGAGGUAGGCGGAAUUGACGGUGUAGCGGUGAAAUGCUUAGAUAUCGUCAAGAACACCGAUAGCGAAGGCAGCUUACUGGGCUGUAACUGACGCUGAGGCACGAAAAGUGUGGGGAUCAAACAGG